UACGGGGGGGGCAAGCGUUGUCCGGAAUUACUGGGCGUAAAGCGCGCGUAGGCGGACCUGCAAGUCGGGGGUGAAAGCCCGAGGCUCAACCUCGGAACUGCCUUCGAUACUGCGGGUCUCGAGUCCGGGAGAGGUGAGUGGAAUUCCUAGUGUAGAGGUGAAAUUCGUAGAUAUUAGGAAGAACACCAGUGGCGAAGGCGGCUCACUGGCCCGGUACUGACGCUGAGGCGCGAAAGCGUGGGGAGCAAACAGG
rnacentral:rRNA from 1 species